rnacentral:rRNA from 1 species
GGGUUCCUACGGGGGGCAGCAGUGAGGAAUAUUGGUCAAUGGCCGAGAGGCUGAACCAGCCAAGUCGCGUGAGGGAUGACGGCCCUAUGGGUUGUAAACCUCUUUUGCCGGGGAGCAAAGAGCGGGACGCGUCCCGCCUCGAGAGUACCCGGAGAAAAAGCAUCGGCUAACUCCGUGCCAGCAGCCGCGGUAAUACGGAGGAUCCGAGCGUUAUCCGGAUUUAUUGGGUUUAAAGGGAGCGUAGGUGGAUUGUUAAGUCAGUUGUGAAAGUUUGCGGCUCAAC